CAUCCAAUUCUACUGCUUUGCUAUCUCUCUCACUCAAUUUCUCUCUUUCUCUCUCUAAGUUAUCAGCACAAAGAAUGGAAGGAGGAGCUGCUGCUGCCGUUGAAGUUCUAGUUCAAAACCUCAUCGACCUCUCCAAGAAAGAGAUCUCUCAGAUUCGAGGUCUUGACAAAGAUGCAGCAAAGCUAGCUGGGAGUCUUGACGUGAUCAAAAAUUUCUUGAAGGAUGCCGAGAUGCGUGAGAUCACCAGUGAUGCUGUCAAGAGCUGGCUGAAGAAGCUUGAAAACGAGGCGUUCGAUGCUGACAAUGUUUUGGAUGAACUCAACUAUCAUAUUCUCUCCAAAAAAAUUAAGGCCACCAAACCCAUGAAGGCGAAGGUACUAUCAUGCUUCUCAUCAUCCUUCAAUUCUAUUGCGCGUCCGAGAAAAAUGGCUGUUAGAAUCGAAGAAAUCAAUGAGAAUUUGGAGUCUAUUAAGAAAGAGGCCACUGAGCUUGGCCUCGUAGCGAAGCUUGAAAAUGAGCCCACCUUGGUUAAUACUUCUAUUUUUGAAACUGAUUCAUUCACUCUCGAUCCAAUUUUUAUUGGAAGAGAUGAUGUUGCGUCCGAAAUAGUUGAGAUGCUUACCAAUAGCAUCACAACUGAUGAACAAGCAGUUUCCAUCCUUCCAAUUGUGGGGAUGGGGGGAUUGGGGAAGACGACAUUGACUAGGAAAGUCUUCAAUCGUCUGAAGGAUGAGAGUCGGUUUGGAUCGCAUUUGUGGGUGCAUGUUUCCCCAAAUUUUGAUGCAAUAACUCUUUUCAAGAAAAUUCUCAAUAACUUGACAUCUUGUCAAGUUGAAAUUGCGAGCAGGGAAGAUAUUCUUGCAAAGUUUAAAGAAGCUUUGAAAGAUAAAACUUAUCUUCUUGUGCUUGAUGAUGUAUGGAACCAAGAUGGUUUGAAAUGGGAAGAUUUUAUGUAAUUCUUUUUUCGGGAGUUAGUUGUGUCAAGGGAAAUGCCAUCGUUGUUACUACCAGAAAUAUGGAGGUGGCUUCAAUUGUGAAUACACUUCAUAUACAUGAGUUGAAAGGCUUAUCGGAGGAAGAGUGUUGGUCAAUAAUAAGAGCAAAAGCCUUCGGAAAAAAAGAUGUUCCUUCAGAAUUUGAGGCCAUUGGGAGAAAGAUAGCAAGAAGGUGCCAAGGUUUGCCAUUAGCUGCCAACAUAGUUGGGGGAGUGCUACGCAAUAAAUNAUUCUACUGCUUUCCUAUCUCUCUCACUCAAUUUCUCUCUUUUCUCUCUCUAAGUUAUCAGCACAAAGAAUGGAAGGAGGAGCUGCUGCUGCCGUUGAAGUUCUAGUUCAAAACCUCAUCGACCUCUCCAAGAAAGAGAUCUCUCAAAUCCGAGGUCUCCACAAAGAUGCAGCAAAGCUAGCUGGGAGUCUCGACGUGAUCAAAAAUUUCUUGAAGGAUGCCGAGACGCGUGAGAUCACCAGCGAUGCUGUCAAGAGCUGGCUGA
rnacentral:lncRNA from 1 species